GAACGAAAUGCAAAAAUAAAUGUAAAAUUGAAGCUUCUAUUGCAGAGUCAUAUAUUUUGGAGGAGGUGUCAAACUUCACAACCAAAUACUAUGGUGACAAUCUUCCCAGCGUGCAUAAUCCACCCCCUCGUUACAAUGCUGGCGAUAAUGAAUCGAGUCUCAGCAUCUUCCGAGGACAACUUGGAAGUGCAAGUGAUGCGAGGUACAAGACCUUGAACCAUGAAGAGUGGCGCCGUAUCAUGCUAUACGUGUUGACCAACCUUUCCGAGGUGGAGCCGUAUAUUGUCGAAUUUCAACGACUAUUUUGGCGUCGCUCAAGGGCUCCAACCCCGAUAGAAAUGGAGAGUCUUCUUAAGAAUGGCGCGGGAAAUUCACAACCCGAUUUCAUUUAUUGGUUCCAACAGAAGGGCCAAACUGAUUCAUCCAUGAGUGCCGAGUUGAGACAGGUUGCCGAUGGUUUUAGCUACAGGGUCAAGUCGUUUAACGUUUAUGAUGUGAAUGGAUAUCGCUUCCACACAAUGACAUACGAGCAGAGUCGACCCAAUCGAAGAACCACUAAUACCAGUGUUUUUACGC